rnacentral:rRNA from 1 species
AUUGAACGCUGGCGGCAGGCCUAACACAUGCAAGUCGAACGAGUGGCGGACGGGUGAGUAAUGUCUGGGAAACUGCCUGCUAGAGAGGGAUAACUACUGGAAACGGUAGCUAAUACCACAUACCCUCUGAUGUGUCCAGAUGGGAUUAGCUAGUAGGUGGGGUAACGGCCCACAUAGGCGAGACUCCCUAGCUGGGUUGAGAGGAUGACCAGCCACACUGGAACUGAGACACGGUCCAGACUCCUACGGGAGGCAGCAGUGGUGAAUAUUGCACAAGGGGCGCAAGCCUGAUGCAGCCAUGCCGCGUGUAUGAAGAAGGCCUUCGGGUUGUAAAGUACUUUCAGCGGGGAGGCGUUACCGGCAGAAGAAGCACCGGCUAACUCCGUGCCAGCCGCCGCGGUAAUAC